GAGGAAUAUUGGUCAAUGGGCGAGAGCCUGAACCAGCCAAGUCGCGUGAAGGAAGACGGUUCUAUGGAUUGUAAACUUCUUUUGUAAGGGAAUAAAAAAGAGUACGUGUACUUUCUUGUAUGUACUUUACGAAUAAGGAUCGGCUAACUCCGUGCCAGCAGCCGCGGUAAUACGGAGGAUCCAAGCGUUAUCCGGAUUUAUUGGGUUUAAAGGGUGCGUAGGCGGACUUAUAAGUCAGUGGUGAAAGUUUGCAGCUUAACUGUAAAAUUGCCGUUGAAACUGUUAGUCUUGAGUGUAAAUAAGGUAGGCGGAAUGUGUUGUGUAGCGGUGAAAUGCUUAGAUAUAACACAGAACACCAAUUGCGAAGGUAGCUUACUGGGAUACAACUGACGCUGAGGCACGAAAGCGUGGGGAUCAAAC
rnacentral:rRNA from 1 species